rnacentral:RNase_P_RNA from 1 species
UCGGCAAACCGUUCUAUCGCUGUUUCGCAAGAAAGAGAGGAAAGUCCGGGCAACACAGAGUAACAUACUUCUUAACUGGAAGAAGGUCGAAAGGCUUUAGUAGUAGAGCAGAAAAUAACCGCCAAACCUACUUCGGUAAUUUUGGUAAGGGUGAAAAGGUGAGGUAAGAGCUCACCGGUACCUGUGGUGACAUGGGUAGCCGUGUACCUUAUGUGUUGCAAGAUCAAGUAUACCGUCAGUUGUAGGCUUACUCGGCCGAUGUCGGGGGGUAGAUUGCUAGAGACAUUUGGCAACAAAUGUUCAAGAUAAAUGAUAGAAACUCUUUUGAAGAGGACAGGACCCGGCUUAUAGGUUUGCCAAUUUU